rnacentral:lncRNA from 1 species
GAAAAGACAGAUAGUUGGUCGGAUUCCCAAUCCAAGACCCAUGGUGGUGUGAAGGCCAUAAAGAGGCAGUUUUGGGAGAGAUCAAGGGGGAAAGUUAUGAACGACUUUCUGGUGGCUUUUGAUCCGUCAUGUUAUCACCCAACGCAUCCUCCAGGGCCUGAUAACACACGCAAAUGGUGAGGAGAGAAGGUAGAUGACCGGAAUUCAUUCCUAAAGGCCAAGACAGCCUUAAGGGCAGAUGUGUG